rnacentral:rRNA from 1 species
CCUACGGGAGGCAGCAGUGGGGGAUAUUGCACAAUGGGGGGAACCCUGAUGCAGCGACGCCGCGUGGGUGAAGAAGCGCCUCGGCGCGUAAAGCCCUGUCAGCAGGGAAGAAAAUGACGGUACCUGAAGAAGAAGCCCCGGCUAACUACGUGCCAGCAGCCGCGGUAAUACGUAGGGGGCAAGCGUUAUCCGGAUUUACUGGGUGUAAAGGGGGCGCAGACGGCGAUGCAAGCCAGGAGUGAAAGCCCGGGGUCCAACCCCGGGACUGCUCUUGGAACGGCGUGGCUGGAGUGCAGGAGGGGCAGGGGGAAUUCCUGGUGGAGCGGUGAAAGGCGUAGAUAUCAGGAGGAACCCCGGUGGCGAAGGCGGCCUGCUGGACUGCAACUGACGUUGAGGCCCGAAAGCGUGGGGAGCAAACAGGAUUAGAUACCCCUGUAGUC